rnacentral:lncRNA from 10 species
CAGGGUCCCAGGCCAGCAUCACUAUCCAGGAGCUUCAGGCAUGCUCCGUGUACCAACAUGGGAUCACGAAUCACAUCGCCUCAGGCCAAGAAAGCCAUUUUAUAGCGAAAGAGCCUUAGGAUCUGCUGGAUUAGAGCCUGUUUCCCAGGUAGGAACGCUUCCACGAGGGCACUCCUGCUGGUUGCAGGAAGGAUACCUCUGCUGAGCCUGAAUCUGCAAAGACCACCAGGUUACUCUCAGCUCCUCAUACUGGUGGACCAGCAGGCCACAAAGGAGGGGAUACUUGAUCCUGAUAAACGGUGAGGAGGUAGCGUGGCUGCUGCGUAACGGGGCAAGCAGGCAUUGAUCUGGCACUUAGAGGAUUCAUCUAGGUCUGUCUUGGUGCUUCCAUGCCAAGUAAUGACAAUGAAAAGGUCUUUUCAGCAGCCAUAGCCCCUAAGGGCUCAGAUGCCUCAGGGUGAAGGUCUGGGCAGCGUCACCAGGCAAGCCAUGGAGACAAGCUGGAAUGCUGGUGAG